rnacentral:rRNA from 1 species
GCGGUGUGCCUAAUACAUGCAAGUCGUACGCACUGGCCCAACUGAUUGAUGGUGCUUGCACCUGAUUGACGAUGGAUCACCAGUGAGUGGCGGACGGGUGAGUAACACGUAGGUAACCUGCCCCGGAGCGGGGGAUAACAUUUGGAAACAGAUGCUAAUACCGCAUAACAACAAAAGCCACAUGGCUUUUGUUUGAAAGAUGGCUUUGGCUAUCACUCUGGGAUGGACCUGCGGUGCAUUAGCUAGUUGGUAAGGUAACGGCUUACCAAGGCGAUGAUGCAUAGCCGAGUUGAGAGACUGAUCGGCCACAAUGGAACUGAGACACGGUCCAUACUCCUACGGGAGGCAGCAGUAGGGAAUCUUCCACAAUGGGCGCAAGCCUGAUGGAGCAACACCGCGUGAGUGAAGAAGGGUUUCGGCUCGUAAAGCUCUGUUGUUGGAGAAGAACGUGCGUGAGAGUAACUGUUCACGCAGUGACGGUAUCCAACCAGAAAGUCACGGCUAACUACGUGCCAGCAGCCGCGGUAAUACGUAGGUGGCAAGCGUUAUCCGGAUUUAUUGGGCGUAAAGCGAGCGCAGGCGGUUGCUUAGGUCUGAUGUGAAAGCCUUCGGCUUAACCGAAGAAGUGCAUCGGAAACCGGGCGACUUGAGUGCAGAAGAGGACAGUGGAACUCCAUGUGUAGCGGUGGAAUGCGUAGAUAUAUGGAAGAACACCAGUGGCGAAGGCGGCUGUCUGGUCUGCAACUGACGCUGAGGCUCGAAAGCAUGGGUAGCGAACAGGAUUAGAUACCCUGGUAGUCCAUGCCGUAAACGAUGAGUGCUAGGUGUUGGAGGGUUUCCGCCCUUCAGUGCCGGAGCUAACGCAUUAAGCACUCCGCCUGGGGAGUACGACCGCAAGGUUGAAACUCAAAGGAAUUGACGGGGGCCCGCACAAGCGGUGGAGCAUGUGGUUUAAUUCGAAGCUACGCGAAGAACCUUACCAGGUCUUGACAUCUUGCGCUAACCUUAGAGAUAAGGCGUUCCCUUCGGGGACGCAAUGACAGGUGGUGCAUGGUCGUCGUCAGCUCGUGUCGUGAGAUGUUGGGUUAAGUCCCGCAACGAGCGCAACCCUUGUUACUAGUUGCCAGCAUUAAGUUGGGCACUCUAGUGAGACUGCCGGUGACAAACCGGAGGAAGGUGGGGACGACGUCAGAUC